rnacentral:rRNA from 1 species
GACGAACGCUGGCGGCGUGCUUAACACAUGCAAGUCGAACGGAAAGGCCCUGCUUUUGUGGGGUGCUCGAGUGGCGAACGGGUGAGUAACACGUGAGUAACCUGCCCUUGACUUUGGGAUAACUUCAGGAGACUGGGGCUAAUACCGGAUAGGAGCUCCUGCUGCAUGGUGGGGGUUGGAAAGUUUCGGCGGUUGGGGAUGGACUCGCGGCUUAUCAGCUUGUUGGUGGGGUAGUGGCUUACCAAGGCUUUGACGGGUAGCCGGCCUGAGAGGGUGACCGGCCACAUUGGGACUGAGAUACGGCCCAGACUCCUACGGGAGGCAGCAGGGGGGAAUAUUGCACAAUGGGCGGAAGCCUGAUGCAGCAACGCCGCGGGCGGGAUGACGGCCUUCGGGUGGUAAACCGCUUUCGCCUGUGACGAAGGGUGAGUGACGGUAAUGGGUAAAGAAGCACCGGCUAAAUACGUG